CAAGCCUGCAUGGUCUGGAAAGGAGGAAGUAGAUGCAAUUCCUAGAUUUGGAUCUAUUCCCUUGACAUUCAGACCUAAAGAAGAUUUACCAGCUGCAGUGAUGAGCAGGAGCUGGGGUAGAAGCUGGGAGCUGAGUGAAAGUGGAAAAUACUUCAUGUCUUGCUGUCUGAAGCUCCAGAGGGGAUUCAAAGAUGAGUGAAGCAUAGCAUCUUUCCUGCAUAAACAUUUAAAAAAGGAGAAAGUGAGAGAGAGGAGUCUUCCAUCCACUUCUAAAUAGAACAAAAUGAUAUCUCAGUGCCCUUAACUUUGAAACUGAAACAGAGCUUCUAGAUCAUCUCAAGAUUUUGCAGCUUUGGAGAAAGCAAGCUGUAGGACUCAUGGCAUAGUGAGCAGCAUUUUUGCCAUGAGCGUCUGCAUUAGGAAAAUCUGGAGACUGCCGUCUCAAAGGGCUCCUUGGGCCAUGGAUCACUGCUCAGGGGAUGGGAGGAGGCAAGUCUAGGAGGGCCUGCCUGUGAGCUCAGGUGAGAUGCCCUUGAGGCCACUAGGGAGAAGGUGGGCCAGAGUCAUUGAUGGGAUUUGAAUAGUGAAGGGGUUAAUAAGCCAAUGAAAUGUGGAUUGCUCAACUUAAUAUAAGCACAUAAGUACUGUGUGAGGAAAAACAAACUGUGGAGAAAAUAGAUUUUCCUCUGCUCUCAUCCCACAACAAUGAACACAGAAGACUUCUGUGACCAAAUGUGGGUCCUCCGCUGCACCCCACACACCAAGCAAGUGAUCAAUUCUGCAGUGGACACCAGCAUUCGGUAUCCUCCACUUCAAUCCUGACACCAUCUACCUGGAGAUAGCAUCAGAUACCGCAGGUUGGGGGCUCAGUCCCACAAGACUGCCCUCGACUUUGGAUGCCAAUCACAAGCCCCAGGUUUUUAUAUCUGUGCUUCUGACUGGCUGUAAAUAGAAGUUCCCAAAAUUCCCUUCUCCUGUUCGAUUAGUUUGCUAGAGUGGCUCACAGAACUUGUUACAGGUAGUUAGACAGGCAUGAGUGGGGCAGGAGAGGGUCCUCCCUCACCUACUAGGAAUGUUGGGUGAUGGUUUGGCAAUUAUCACAUUGCCUCUCUAAAAGUGAUAAGUUGCCAGCCGGUGCCAGGGAAAGGCCACUUCCUGAUGAUCUACACCUGUUGCACUAAAGUGUUAAUUGAAUGCAGAUGCCAGUGGGGAGCAAAUUUCUGGGCAUGCACAUUAAGAGACAAAAUGGCUGAGUAUGAUCUUCCAGGCACACUCCACCAGAAAAGGGAAGAAAAGCCUCAGAUGGGCAUGUGUACAACUUCCUAAACACACUGCAUGUGGUCAUUUUCCAAGCAUAAGGAGGGUACUGUGCAUGCAGGCAGCCCACCCUAAGGUAGAAUCAUGGGAAAGGGGCCAGCCUAUAAAGUCCUAGGAUCCAGGUUAAAGACCACACUUGUUCUUCAAGUCACAUGCUUGGGUCUCUUCCAAGCACACUUUCUUUUCUGUUCUAAAGC
rnacentral:lncRNA from 1 species